rnacentral:rRNA from 1 species
AUUGAACGCUGGCGGCAGGCCUAACACAUGCAAGUCGAGCGGAUGAGGGGAGCUUGCUCCUGGAUUCAGCGGCGGACGGGUGAGUAAUGCCUAGGAAUCUGCCUGGUAGUGGGGGAUAACGUCCGGAAACGGGCGCUAAUACCGCACACGUCCUGAGGGAGAAAGUGGGGGAUCUUCGGACCUCACGCUAUCAGAUGAGCCUAGGUCGGAUUAGCUAGUUGGUGGGGUAAAGGCCUACCAAGGCGACGAUCCGUAACUGGUCUGAGAGGAUGAUCAGUCAACCGAGAACGUGAGCAACGUCCCAGAUCCUAAGGGAGGGAACAGGUGGGAAUAUUGGGCAAUUGGGGGAAACCUUGUCCAAGCCAGGCGCGGGUGGUGAAGAAGUUCUUGGAAUGGUAAGCACCUUUAGGUGGGGGGAAGGGCAGGUAGGUUAUACCUUGCCUGUUUGACGGUACCAACAGAAUAAGCACCGGCUAACUUCGUG